UUAGUUGCCUUUAAUGCCUAAACACACCAGAACCCAUCUGAACUUGGGAGCUAAGCAGGGUCAGCCUUGGCUAGUAACUGGAUGGGAGACCACCAAGUGAUGUAGACUAUAGUUCAAAGGAAGUAACUGAC
rnacentral:rRNA from 11 species